CCUCUUGCAAGACUUGAUCCUAAAACUUCAAUAAUAAGCACCAUUUUUUUUCUAAACAAAAAGAAAGGCUGCAAAUUCAAGGUUGCCCAUCCCUUCCUCCAUGCUUUCUUUUGAGACACUGCUACCCAAGCGCAGUCUGUCCAGAAGCAAAAACGCAAUGGAACAUAAAUGCACCAUCGAGAUGCAUGGAUAUAUUCUGCUGUGCUGGCAUGCUCCUUACCUACAGAAGGUUUGUCCAAAGUUUCCCACAGAUCCUCCCGUGGAGUCAACAUGGAAAACACUGUCACAAGAACAUGACAUAAUGAACAAGCAGUUAUCAAAUUUCAUUCUCAGUUGCAAUAGAAAUGGUCAGCUCUCACCAAUUUGCAAACAUUGCUUCUUGCAGGAGCUGCAGUGUAAAUGACUCUAGAAAUAAACUAUUCCAGAUCUCAUAUAAAUGUAUACAGCACAACAGCUUAAUUGUGAGAACAAAUUUAAGUGCAGUUAAUCAAAACCUCAGCAUUGAUCGUGAGCACAUACUACCCUUUUCCAUCAUUAAAAUGAGACAAAAAAAAAAAACUAGCAAACCAUCUUGCAUAACCAGUUGCUUAUUUAAGAUACAAAUAAAAGAGCAUAUGCUGUUUUUUCAAACAACUACCCAGGAUUUUAGUGCAGUUGGGCUUUCAUCUUACAGUGAAACAACAAUUAUUUUCAGUGGAAUGGGCCAACCAUCAGAAGCUAUUGAAUACACUUCAGCUUCCAUCUCCCUGAAAACAAAUCAGCUUGUAUAAAUAGUUUAAUGAUUUUAAUACCAGCCAGAAUUGAUUUAGUGUUUCCUGGACCACAAAGAAAGAAAAGAUCUAUAUUGUCAUAAGCCUGGCCUGAAGCACUCACAUCUUAGAACUAGAGCCUUGAUGACAAAAUAAGUACCAACCAGCAAGGCACAGCAGCAGUGAGAGUCAGGAAAGCCCCAUUCUCACACUGGGAUCUCACCAGCAACAGCUCAGAGGGGAGGGACUCAAUUCGUUCAGCCUUUCUACAGCCAUCAUAAUGCAAAGUGUAUAAACCUUCCCACGCAGUGACACAAUCCAUUGGAAAGAUUAAGGUGUAUUCUCAGGAUUUUGAAUUACAUCCAACUCUAUAUGAGAACCUAAAGCCUCCAUUCCAAAGGUAAAGUGGCUUUAGAGCUAUUAACAUUAGUGUGGAGGUAAAGAUAAGGCCAUGACGUUACAGUUCAAUCAAACUUCUUUGAUGAAAUUUACUAUUCAUUUAAAAUAUGAUGCAGCCUUAAAGUAGCCAGCAUUUCACAUAUUUUGAAUUAUUUUAAGUUCACACAAUAAAAAAAGAAAAAAGUCGUACAAUAGUUUUUAUGUUAUUGCUCCAAACUUUAUGCAGAGAAAAUAGGAAAUGUAUCCUUCUUGCCAGCACUACACAACCACAAUCCUUCCACUCCUUGCAACAUGGCAUGACUGAAGCAAUAUGACAGGCUGGUGUCAAGAAAUUUAAGAAAAAGUGUUCAAAAAAAUACCACCAUUUCUUAACAUUUCUCAUCUCCACAUCAUCUUAUUUUCAUAUUGCUGAACUAUAUAUUGUGUAUUCAUCUGAUAAAUUAACUCGAUGGUGCAAUAUUUUAGUGGUUUAACAUAAUUCGGUUUGCAUCACAGUAUAUAGCUUUCUAUAUGCAAAUACUAUAUGCUAUAGGUCCUGCGCAAACACUCAUCACCAAAACAGUUUUAAGAAACAGUUAUACCUAAUUAAAUUUUCCAAGAACAAUCCUCUACCAUUUUAAAAUGAAGACAAAGAAUUAGAGGGCUCCAUACAGCUCAGAAAUAAUAAUUUGGAGAAUUUGUGCGUAGAGCAUGCCACAUGUAGCAAAUUGUCGGGAUAAAUUUCACUAGAUUCAGGACAUUGGUAUCAUUUACUAUGGUGCACAGUCAUUUGCCGGGUAUUUCUACCCGGUAGACUUGCGCUGGACAGCCUAUGUCUCACUGUCAUCACCUAUGAGAGAUGGAAAUGUCAGUUCUUCAGUUUCAGAUCAACAGAAAGCUGCUUUUUAUGUUUAUCUGAAAGAGCUGGUAAAAUAGAUCCAGAUUAAAAUUCAACUGAAAUCAAGUAAAGAUAAUUUUCAGUGAAAGAUUUGGAAUUAUUUAACCCUUUAGUCUAUAAAUUAAAUACCAGGUUAAGCCCCUAGCAAAGUCUUUUAAAAUGCAAAGUUAAAUAAUCAUUUCUGAGGCUGAGAAGAUGGUUGCUUCCUUGCAGAGGAGCUGUUGAAUUCAUUACACUCUUUACACUAGGAGAAGAAUAAUAACAAUGCCAAUAUUGAUACUUCAGCUUCACACUGAAAAACAUGGCCUCUGAAAAUAGGGAGAAUUAGUUCAAGUACUAACUGCUGCUCCCAGUGAGCAAAGUGACAAAGGAGCACAGUGGGAGCUACUGAGCAGUCAGCACUUGCAGCUCCUAACACUUGCUAGUCUUGGAAUUGUACAAGCUCUUUAUAUCUUAUUUCUUUUACACAUUUUUGUACUUUUGUAUUCUUGUAUUUGAGAUUAAUAUACAUUCCUGCUGUCACAUAACUCUUUCUCCAGGCAUGAAAAUGAAAGCGUUACCUGGAUAUCAUCUGAGGACACUAAAAGAACAGAACUUUCAGCCCAUUUCACUGCAGGUCUUCAGUCUUUCAGAAGUGAAAGUGAACUUCUGCUGAGACUUCACUGCUGAUUGCAAGGCUUCCUAAGAAGGUGGAAAAACCCAUUUAACCCAGUGCAUUCUAGAGAAUGAAGUGGCAAGCCGUGCAGGUUUUGGGUGGUGAAUCAGAAGAGCGAAUAAGCUGAAAGCUGCCAUCUCAAAUUGAAAACCUCAGAUUUGCUGUCAUUAAAAACCCAGAGAAAGAUAAAAGAAGGCUUUGUCUUCAUGGCAUUUCACCUCCUUUAAGCAACUGGCUCCUUUCCUGAGACAUUUGCACCUUUUUUGGAAACUUUGCCCUGCACUUACUUACUGUAAGUAAAUGGACUCAGUUAAAACCAUGGAGAAAAUAUGGAAUAGAGCAGGGUAAGGGCCAAAAUGAAGGCCACAUCUGGAUUCCUUCCACAGGGUGUCCAAAAGCUACUUACAUAUUUAUAGACACUCAGAAAUUUUCUAAUCCUGACUCCAAAUAUUUUUGCUAUAGAAAUAACUUUCUCUAGAAAUCUGACAGGGUAGAACAGGUUAUCAGUAAGUCUAUGAAUACUGCUGCUGCUGCGCAUGACCUUCAUCUUACUUUUAUUCUUAGAUCACCACUGUUGUAAUAACCCUAUUAGCAUUCUUUGCAAACUCUGCUAACGGCUCUGUUAGUGCCUGUGUACACUUUUCAGUAUUGCUCUUACCAAAAAUAGUUGAAAUCUCAGGCAUCACUAUAAUCAACGUUCAUCUUAGAAGACAGGAUGUUUUGUCAAUACCUUUGUGGUAUAUUCUUGCCAGCCUUGAAAUCCAACUCUGCCAAGUAAAAUCUGUCAUUUAAAAGGCUACAUGAUGCUUCACAGAGGGGGCUUGGCAAGGUUUGCCUUCUGUUUCACAGAUAGAUUCCAAAGCUCCUGAAAUUUGUUAAGAUUCACAACUGAUACACUGACCACUCAAAGGAGGCACCAGAUGAGGUGCAAAGAUCAGAUUUAAAAUCUAUUUAAAGAAAGUUUGCUGAUGCUAGAUCAAGGAUUUCGAUUUUGCAUGAUGUGUUCAGAAUAUAUUCAGGGUGGGUCUGCAAAGCCCAACUUUACAAAACAGUAAGUGUCUAAAGAAUGGUACUGAAAUAGGUAAAAAGCUGGAAGGAGUAUGCUAGCGUAUAUAUGACAAAAAUAAAAUUACUUUUCUAUUGUUUUAUGUCUGUGAUGAUUUUGAAGACAGACACAGCAUCAGCAAGCAGGAGAACAGAUCAAAAAGGAGACAAAAUUGAAGAUAGACUUACUCCACAUUUUAAUACUUUCUCCCUCAUUAAUCAAGAAAGGAUGUCUGGAACUUAGAGAAAGUAGAACAGCAAGUGGCUCUGCAGGGACAAAUGGGACAGACAGAUACCUCUGGCAACUGGCCCAAAGCAGAGUUCUGGAGCCCUGUCGUCCCCACUCCCAUUCAUUUCAUUGUGAGAGCUGCAAGAUUCUAGGGCUGCUUCCUGGUAAGGAGACAUACAGAAAAUGCUGUGCCUUCUAUGGAAAGAUAUCUGCUGCUAAAAUCAUGGGCAAGACAACAGUUCAGAGGCCUAUGGAAUUACCAUCCAGACAUCACAGCCUCAGUUUUUCAAAGAUCAGAACUAACUAGUCUUCACGUUAAUCAAUUCCAACUAUGCUGCAUGCUGCAGAGAUAACAAACACUGUCACUGUGCAGAGAUCAAGCCAGCCACCCCACAACAUAUCUAGUGGUACAUGGGGCACCCAUCCAAGACAUGGGUUGCACAAAGGAAGCCUGGAACUGAGGCCCUCCGCAUCUGAAGAACUUGUUUUUGCUUUGGAUACAGUUCUUCUGAAAACCACAAAGUCAAAACAUUUCACUACAUCAAAAAAGCUUUUCAACAUCUCUGAACUUAUUAAAAUAAGUUGGUCAACACUUCUUCCCCCUAGAUAUGAAUCCAGAUGAGACUGUCAAUAAAAUUGUGCAGAUAUAAAACCAAAAGGAAACCUUAAUCUCUACCCUGAGCCUCCUAAAACACAACUCAAGAUGUUCAAUCUUGGAUUUCUGUUCUUAGUUCAUAGCAAAGUCUCUCUUCAAGGCCUAGCUUUGAAGCUUCCUAGAACAGCGACUGAAACAUGAUCACAGAGCUAUGGUAAUUUUACCAAACUUCAAAACAUCUGACAGAAAAUUCGUUAACUGAAAAAGGAAUCAGGAUUUCUGCCACAGGGAACCCCUAUAUCUAUGAAGCAAUUCAGAAGCAGGUAACAGCAGAACCAUCGUGUAGCUACUUCAGAGACUGAUGUAAGGAUCCUGCCCUUCUCUGUCCACUUUCUCCAUCCCAAAGUCUCUGCAUACAAAUAUGUAUUUAUAUGUAUGGUGAAAACACUGAGAGGAAAUGUUUUGGAAGACAAAUCAACAUCUGUCAACAAGAUCCUCUUUAAUGACUCUGCCUCUUCAAUAUUUGUAUAUCAAUAAAAUUAAGGAGUUCACAUACUUCUGAGUCAGUGGUUACCAGUGAUCUCAUGGAGUCUUCAGCUAAAGAUUUUGAUAUUUGAUGAACUGAUCUUGGAGGAAAAAUUGUGAUCACUUCUCCAGCUAUUCAACAGAAUGUUAAAUAAAUAACAGAAUAAAGCCUAUACCAGGAUUGAAAAUCACUCAGACAUAAAUCCAAGUUAUUUGCACAGCCACAAGUAAGUUAUAACAUGAUAAUUUUCAGAGAAGACUUAUACUUCAAAAAUAC